CCCUGGGAGGAGGCAAAGGGUGAAGUCAACCUAGAGGCUGCACUUCAGUCUGCAGUCCCUCCCCUCCAGUUCGGCCGACGCCUUUCUGGAUCUUCACACAGGAUGCUGGUACUGCCACCCAUUUACCAGCAGGGGACAAGCUUAUCCAAGGAGUGCUUGGCAGGUCGGAAUUCAGAAUGAAGGAGGCCAAAACCCAGAGGCAAAAGCAUUUCUUGUUCUACUUGCGGUGGAUCUGCUCACUGGUCACAUGUGUGUCACCACACGGGUGUGUCCCUAGUGCCAGGUCAGGGACCAGAGGUCCCCGCUGGAGGAAUGGAUGGAUGGAGGAAGCCACGGCCAGGAGCACUGCAGCGCCUCUCUCCCCAGGGCUCAUGCAGUCACACCCCCUUCAGAGUUCCAGGUGGCCUGCGGAGACCUAUGAAAAAUGAAAAGGGCUGGAGAUGGGGCUCAGUGCCCCGGGUUAAUUCCCCAGAACAACAACAACAACCACAGAUCCUUGCUCUGGCUCAGGCUACAUUGAUUUUCUUUUCUUUCUUUGCUGCACUCUGGGGGAUCAAGCCCAGGGCCUGUACAUGCUGGUCAAGGGCUCUGCCACUGUGCCACAUGACCACAUCCCCAGCGCCUGGGUCCAUUUCUGUUGCUUUCCUUGACCUUUUCUUCCAUCAA